rnacentral:rRNA from 1 species
AGAGAAGCGAAGCGGUGACGUGGAGACAAACCUCAGAAAGCCAAUCUCAGUUCGGAUUGUAGGCUGCAACUCGCCUACAUGAAGUUGGAAUCGCUAGUAAUCGCGAAUCAGAAUGUCGCGGUGAAUACGUUCCCGGGUCUUGUACACACCGCCCGUCACACCACGAGAGUUUACAACACCCGAAGUCAGUGGCCUAACCGCAAGGAGGGAGCUGCCUAAGGUGGGGUAGAUGAUUGGGGUGAAGUCGUAACAAGGUAAC